rnacentral:rRNA from 1 species
AUUGAACGCUGGCGGCAGGCUUAACACAUGCAAGUCGAGCGGGGUGAUGGUGCUUGCACUAUCACUUAGCGGCGGACGGGUGAGUAAUGCUUAGGAAUCUGCCUAUUAGUGGGGGACAACAUCUCGAAAGGGAUGCUAAUACCGCAUACGUCCUACGGGAGAAAGCAGGGGAUCACUUGUGACCUUGCGCUAAUAGAUGAGCCUAAGUCGGAUUAGCUAGUUGGUGGGGUAAAGGCCUACCAAGGCGACGAUCUGUAGCGGGUCUGAGAGGAUGAUCCGCCACACUGGGACUGAGACACGGCCCAGACUCCUACGGGAGGCAGCAGUGGGGAAUAUUGGACAAUGGGGGGAACCCUGAUCCAGCCAUGCCGCGUGUGUGAAGAAGGCCUUAUGGUUGUAAAGUACUUUCAGCGGGGAGGAAGGCAAUGUGGUUAAUAACCGCAUUGAUUGACGUUACCCGCAGAAGAAGCACCGGCUAACUCCGUGCCAGCCGCCGCCGUAA